UACGUAGGGUGCAAGCGUUGUCCGGAAUUAUUGGGCGUAAAGAGCUCGUAGGCGGUCUGUUGCGUCGGCUGUGAAAACCCAGGGCUCAACCCUGGGCCUGCAGCCGAUACGAGCAGACUAGAGUUCGGCAGGGGAGACUGGAAUUCCUGGUGUAGCGGUGAAAUGCGCAGAUAUCAGGAGGAACACCGGUGGCGAAGGCGGGUCUCUGGGCCGAUACUGACGCUGAGGAGCGAAAGCGUGGGAAGCGAACAGG
rnacentral:rRNA from 1 species